GACGUAGGAGACAAGCGUUAUUCGGAUUUACUGGGCGUAAAGCGCGUGCAGGCGGUUUGACAAGUUGGAUGUGAAAGCUCCCGGCUUAACUGGGAGAGGUCGUUCAAAACUAUCAGACUAGAGAGUGGUAGAGGAAGGCGGAAUUCCGGGUGUAGUGGUGAAAUGCGUAGAUAUCCGGAGGAACACCAGUGGCGAAAGCGGCCUUCUGGACCAAUUCUGACGCUCAGACGCGAAAGCUAGGGUAGCGAACGGG
rnacentral:rRNA from 1 species